GAGCGGUGUUCAAUCGUCCUGACGUAACAACAUGGCCACCCACUCGUCCCUUGUUGACUGGGAGUUAGCUUGCUAAAUGAUGUUAAGUAAGACAGAUGGCAUACAAUGAUUCGAUCGGAUUUUUUAUCAAUCCCAGAUCACAAAAAUGUAUUGUACACACAAAGCGUUUGAAAAACUAGUUUAGUAGCUAAUGGUAUUGAACGUGUAGAUGGGUAACCAACCCUCGAGCUAGCUAUGCUAGCUUGAGAACAAACAUAAACAUUCUUGUAAGGCUAGCUAGCUACGAAAUUUAAAGAUUAAUUUAUUGUGGGAAGAUGUUGGGUUUUCUAACAGCAAGACAGGCUGGACUUGACGACCCACUUCGUCUGAGACGGGCAGAGUCAACACGGAGGGUCCUCAAUUUAGAGCUGAAUCAUGACAGAGAUGUGGAUCGAAUCCAUAGCAACGGCAUAAACACCAUAGACAUCGAAGUCAUUGAGGGCAGAUACAUGCUAUCUGGAGGGGCAGAUGGGGUGAUUGUGGUGUAUGACCUGGAGAACAACAGCAGGAAACCCCAAUACACCUGUAAAGCAGUCUGCACUGUAGGCAGGUCCAGUCCGUAUGUCCACAGGUUCAGUGUAGAGACAGUGCAAUGGUACCCACACGACACAGGCAUGUUUGUCUCCAGCUCCUUUGACAAAACCAUGAAGGUCUGGGACACUGAGACACUAAAGCCCGCUGAAGUGUUCCAGUUUGAAGGAAACGUCUACUGUCACCACAUGUCCCCCAUUGCCAGGAAACACAGCCUCAUCGCAGUGGGUACCAAAGACCAGAAAGUACAGCUCUGUGACCUGAAGUCUGGCUCACGCAUCCAGGUUCUGCAGGGUCACAGAGGUGAGGUCCUAUCUGUUCGGUGGUCGCCAAGAUAUGAGCACAUUUUAGCUACAGCCAGUACUGACAGCAGGGUGUUGGUGUGGGAUGUGCGUCGGGCCUCAGGGAGCCUGUUCUCUCUGGACCAACACAACGGGGACAAGUCCAAGGCCUCGUCAGAGGCAGUGAACACAGCCCAUAAUGGAAGGGUAAAUGGCCUCUGCUUCACGGUCGACGGCCUCUACCUUCUCACCACGGGAACAGACGACCGCAUGAGGCUGUGGAACAGUGCCAAUGGAAAAAACACACUGGUGAAUUAUGGGAAGGUGAGUAACGAAAGCCGUAAGGGGUUAAAGAUCACGGUUUCUCGUAGCUGCAGCCCGGAGUUUGUGUUUGUACCUUGUGGCAGCUCGGUGGCGGUGUACACUCUACACACGGGGGAACUUGUAACCAUGCUGAGGGGACACUACAACAACGUGGACUGCUGCCAGUUCCACCCCGACUACCAGGUUAGCAUUUGUGAAGAAUGAUUGGAUCUUUCCAUCUGUGGAGCGCAGGACGAGAUCUGUGAGUUGCAGUGGGGGUGUAUUUGAGGUAGGCUACAGAAGGAGCUAUACAGCGGUGGUAAAGACUGUAACAUCCUAGCCUGGGUUCCUGUUGUACGACCACCAGACGUGGAAGAAGAAGGGACAGCCGCCAAGGGUGGGAGCCAGGCUACGGUGAACCCUGCUUUUGAAGACGCAUGGAGCAGUGAUGAGGACUGAUGCAUAAACACAACUGUACAGCCCUACUCCAUCGGACAUAGCUUCAGGAAUCUCAUCAUGGUGCCAGCUUCAGGAAUCUCAUCAUGGUGCUAGCUUCAGGAAUCUCAUCAUGGUGCUAGCUUUAGGAAUCUCAUGUUGCAUCUGUAGACUUAAAAAAAAAAUACAAAUGCAGUUUAACAACUACUGUGGAGUUGGAGAAUGAACCUUAACAGACUUUGAAUCUCUGUUGUGAUAUCUGAUUUAUCUUUUAUUUAAUAUACAAAAUGGAAAUCUACACUGUGUGUACAAAACAUUAGGAAUACCUUCCUAAUAUUCAGUUGCACCCCCUUUUGCCCUCAGAACAGCCUCAGUUUGUCGGGGCACCUCUACAAGGUGUCGAAAGCGUUUCACAGGGAUGCUGGCUCAUGUUGACUCCAACCCACAGUUGUGUCAAGUUGGCUGAAUGUUCUUUGGGUGGUGGACCAUUCUUGAUACACACGGGAAACUGUUAAGUGUGAAAACCCAUCUGCGUUGCAGUUAUUGACACACUCAAACCGGUGUGCCUGGCACCUACUACCCAGCAGCAUACUGCCCAGCAGCAUACUGCCCAGCAGCAUACCACCCUGCAUCCCACUGCUGCCUUGCCUCUGAAGCUAAGCAGGGUCGGUCCUGGUCUGUCCCUGGAUGGGAGAUCAGAUGCUGCUGGAAGUGAUGUUGGAGGGCCAGAAGGGGGCACUCUUCCCUCUGGUCUAUCUAUCCCAAUGCCACAGGGCAGUGAUUGGGGACAUUGCCCUGUGUAGGGUGCCGUCUUUCGGAUGGGACUUUAAAUGGGUGUCCUGACUCUUUGUGGUCAUUAAAAAUCCCAUGCACUUAUCGUAAGAGUAGGGGUGUUAACCCUGUUGUCAUGACUAAAUUCCCAACCUGGCCCCACCUAAUCAUCCCACUCAUUCCUAAUUGGCAGAUAUCACUCCUCACCGCUCCAGCUGAGGUGUGGUGAGCGUUCUGGCACAAAAAUGUCCGCCGUGCAUCAUACAGGUGGGUUCUACACGUUGGUGGUGGAUGAGGUGAGUUUCCCCAUACUAUGUGAAGAGCUUUGAGUAACUCCGGUGUGGAAAAGCGCUAUAUAAUUCCAAUCAAUUAUUAAUUACCAUACCCCGUUCAAAGCCACUUAAAUCUUUUGUCUUGCCCAUUCACCCUCUGAAUGGCAAACAUGCACAACCCAUGUCUCAAGGCUUAAAAAUCCUUCUUUAACCGGUCUCCUUCCCUUCAUCUACACUGAUUUGAAGUGGAUUUAACAGGUGACGUCCAUAAGGGAUCUUAGCUUUCAGCUGAAUUGACCUGGUCAGUCUAUGACAUGGAAAGAGCAGGUGUUCCUAAUGUUUUGUACACUCAGUGUAUGGCAUUAAAACCUACGGAUGGGUAUCUGCACUGUACAUUCAGCUGUAUAAUCUGUUUCUAUUGUCUGCCUUUGACACAUGUACGUUGUACUUUACAUGGUGUUAAAAUCAGCUUUCCAUUAUUCCAAUGAUGACCAGAGUAAAACUAGCCGAACUGGAGCCAAACCAUUCCUCAUAGCGUCUUUGAACAUAACGUUCAAGAGACCCACCUUUCCGUCAUCAAUUCACCCAGAAAUAUUUGUCAGCCAUGUCUCUCUCUCUCCCCUACAUUUGCAUUAUUUAUUCUGUUGUCAUUGCUAAAACCAGCUCUGUAUUGUUGUUGUUAGAGGUGAUACUGAAAUCAGACUCACUUUCUCUCCUACUGACAGCCUCAUGUUUACAUAUGAUUGGCUUGAAGGGCAUUAUUUACCUAUAACUCACGGCAUAUUUGCAUGGUAGAAUUCAAUGGCCAUAGUUCAUUCUAUGGCAAAAGUCGAUUUGAAAAUAUUGAUUUUGUUGUAUUCAUAAUGGCAAGCUAGGACUGAUGAUUUGGUUAGCUAAACUAGCAAGUCUGUUUGAUUGGCUACCACGGCAACUAUAGGAAACUUGCUAGCUACUUCAGUGGAUGUUGAACACAUUUCUACCAGCAAAUUAACACAUUUCUAGCGACAAAUAUGUUAAAUUAUAGCCAUGGUAUAAUCGGGAUAGUCAACUCUGCUCUAUGCGUUCUGUAGAAAAUUAAACAACUCUGUGGAAGGUCAGUUCCACUCUGCAUGGAACACACCUUCCACGUCGUUCAUUAUUUUCCAUAGAACACAUAUCCUCUCUUACAUACUUGCAUACUUAUAACCUCUAGGAAACCCUACCUACAAUUAACACCUAGAUUCCAGCAAAAAUCGACUUUUCAUUUAUCUGACGUUCCAUUUAUCUGAUGUUCAGUUAUCUGUAUGUCUAGCCCUUAUAUUUAGCCUCACAAUUAAGUGUUUUACAGUUUUCUUUUCAGGAUAACCAGAGCUCAAGUAGAACACAAAACAAUUUCACAUAAACGGUUGCGUUCAUGGGUUUUAUUGACAUGUCAAUAAAAAAAUGUCAGCCAAAAACAUUGAAAUUAAUUUAUAAAUGAAUUGAUAUGAAUGCUGUAAGUAGUGAAAUUGUUUGCUCAGUGGGAAAUGAGUAUAAAUAUCCAACCAGUCAGUGACAA